rnacentral:rRNA from 1 species
AACGAACGCUGGCGGCAGGCCUAACACAUGCAAGUCGAGCGAGACCUUCGGGUCUAGCGGCGGACGGGUUAGUAACGCGUGGGAACGUGCCCCUUCUCUGCGGAAUAGCCACUGGAAACGGUGAGUAAUACCGCAUACGCCCUUCGGGGGAAAGAUUUAUCGGAGAAGGAUCGGCCCGCGUUAGAUUAGAUAGUUGGUGGGUAACGGCCUACCAAGUCUACGAUCUAUAGCUGGUUUUAGAGGAUGAUCAGCAACACUGGGACUGAGACACGGCCCAGACUCCUACGGGAGGCAGCAGUGGGGAAUCUUAGACAAUGGGCGCAAGCCUGAUCUAGCCAUGCCGCGUGUGUGAUGAAGGUCUUAGGAUCGUAAAGCACUUUCGCCAGGGAUGAUAAUGACAGUACCUGGUAAAGAAACCCCGGCUAACUCCGUG